GCAUAAUCAUUAGUCUUUUAAUUGAAGGCUGGUAUGAAUGGCGGGACGAAGUAUUUACUGUCUCUUUUAUAAUGAAAUAGAAUUUAAUUUUUUAGUUAAAAAGCUUAAAUAGUAUUGGAGGACGAGAAGACCCUAUAGAGCUUAACAUGAGAUAUUUAAUUUUUAUUUAAUUUUAAUGUUUAAAUUUAUUGUGUUUAGUUGGGGUGACUAAAAGAUAAAAAUAACUCUUUUUAUUUUUAAUCACGAAUGAGUGUUUGUUUGAUCCGUUUUUUACGAUUAAAAGAUUAAGUUACCUUAGGGAUAACAGCGUAAUUCUUUUUGAGAGUUCAAAUCGACAAAGGAGUUUGCGACCUCGAUGUUGGACUAAGAAAAAUCUUGGGUGCAAAAGUUCAAGUUUUGGGUCUGUUCGACCUUUAAAUUCUUACAU
rnacentral:rRNA from 1 species